CUUCGGUCGAUUUAAUUUAAUUCUAGUGGCGGACGGGUGAGUAACGCGUGGGUAACCUACCUUAUACAGGGGGAUAACAGUCAGAAAUGGCUGCUAAUACCGCAUAAGCGCACAGAGCUGCAUGGCUCAGUGUGAAAAACUCCGGUGGUAUAAGAUGGACCCGCGUUGGAUUAGCUUGUUGGUGGGGUAACGGCCCACCAAGGCGACGAUCCAUAGCCGGCCUGAGAGGGUGAACGGCCACAUUGGGACUGAGACACGGCCCAGACUCCUACGGGAGGCAGCAGUGGGGAAUAUUGCACAAUGGGGGAAACCCUGAUGCAGCGACGCCGCGUGAAGGAAGAAGUAUCUCGGUAUGUAAACUUCUAUCAGCAGGGAAGAUAGUGACGGUACCUGACUAAGAAGCCCCGGCUAACUACGUGCCAGCAGCCGCGGUAAUACGUAGGGGGCAAGCGUUAUCCGGAUUUACUGGGUGUAAAGGGAGCGUAGACGGUGUGGCAAGUCUGAUGUGAAAGGCAUGGGCUCAACCUGUGGACUGCAUUGGAAACUGUCAUACUUGAGUGCCGGAGGGGUAAGCGGAAUUCCUAGUGUAGCGGUGAAAUGCGUAGAUAUUAGGAGGAACACCAGUGGCGAAGGCG
rnacentral:rRNA from 1 species